UACGAAGGGGGCUAGCGUUGUUCGGAAUUACUGGGCGUAAAGCGCACGUAGGCGGAUCGAUCAGUCAGGGGUGAAAUCCCAGGGCUCAACCCUGGAACUGCCUUUGAUACUGUCGAUCUGGAGUAUGGAAGAGGUGAGUGGAAUUCCGAGUGUAGAGGUGAAAUUCGUAGAUAUUCGGAGGAACACCAGUGGCGAAGGCGGCUCACUGGUCCAUUAUUGACGCUGAGACGCGAAAGCGUGGGGAGCGAACAGG
rnacentral:rRNA from 1 species